CAGUUGCUCUUCCUGCCUUCCAGGUCUCGCUACUGGAAGCUGCACCAUUUCCCUUCAACUGAACUGAAGGGUUUGUCCCUUCAAACAGCUGUCCUGCCUUUGCUUCUUUUGAUGCUGUGAAGUUCAUCAAUAUUCAUCAGAAUUGGAGAGAGAGAGUAAUUUUCAGCAGAAGCAGCUGAAUGGUGCACUGGCAACAAGGCUAGAUCCUUUACCUUGUGGCAUCUCCCACCCUGGACACUUACCCUGACCCCACAGUGCUGCUGGCUGGAGGAGGUCUGCCAAGGAUUCGGAGGUGAUGCCCACACUGAUCCUACCAGCUCCCAGUGAGAGCGCAGAAAAAUCUAAGCAAGCUUGCAAGGUGAUGGGCAGAUGUUUUAAAAGGGCAAUGGCAAAUAACUUGGCUUUUGCCAGGUCUGGCUGAUCCGUGCUGGUUGUAGCAGAUAGAUGUGAUUCCAGACAUAACACAUCCGUUCCUUCAUCAGUUUGCCACUGCUCCCUGCCAAGGAGAGUAAAAUCUCACAGCUGAGCUGAGAGCAAGGUCUUGCAGAGAAUCAUUAUUCCUGAAGCAGCUUCCAGAGAAGCUCUGUCUCAGUGUACGUGACCUCUGAUCUACGAAAGAAAAGGUUGCCUUGUGCCUGAGGAACAGAGCUGUGGCAUGAACUUGGCAGUAGCAGGAUUUUCUUUAAACAGCCUCACACACUUUCUGCUUGUAGUUGGAAACAGUGUUCCAGGAAGAGUGAAAAUGUCAUCCAGCGCUAUUCAAUGUGGACAGGGCUUCUAGCAAAAGGCAGCAUCUUGAAUUCAAUCUGUGACGGUGACAGCUGCAUGACGAGGUUAUGUUUCCCUUUGUGGAGAAAGUAGAAGAUGACGUGCUACUAUUUCAGUGGGUCUUGGUGUGAAGAAUGUGAGGUCUUUCUUGAUGGCUGGAUGAAGCACUGCUUUGUCUCUUUCAGAUGUUUGCUUGAGGGAAGAAAGGAAAGAACUGGUCUGUCUUGGAGAAGUGAGAAUAGAUCUUGUCAUAUAAGGACUUGGCAAAUUAGUGUUAACUACAUGUUAACAUGUAGUUAACAUUUUCAAUAAGCACAUAAGAAAGAGUUUAAAAAUAAUUGGGUUUUUCUCCAUUACAAAGUCUAGGUCUCUACGCCAGAUGAAAGCCAAUGGCAUGUGUAGGCGCCCUCCUAAAGACUGUGAGGGGAAGGAGUCCUGAGCGGGUCAGGACUACCGUCUCUCUCUUUUGGUGUUAAUCAAGCAUGGGGGGUUAUGGAGGAGAGCAGGCUAUUGUAGAUCUGUAUGAGAAGCAAUGUUAUUUAUUCCAGAGAGUGUGCCUGUUGUACUAUGUGAUGUUAGAUGGCUGUGUAUGAUACUGUCAGAAGACAUUGUCAGGAAAUUCCUUAAUAGGAUUUUUUUUUUUUUUUUUUUAAUCACCUCUUCAUCCUUUACUGGUUUAGAACACUGCAUUUUUGGUGAGCUUUUUUUAAGGAACAAGUUAAGCUCAAGGAGUGGGCAGGAAGACUUGUGACACAGCAGGGAUGUGUCCCACAGUCUUGGAUUAUGAAUCCAGGAGAGACAUGUCCCUGCCCGCCUGCCAAGCUGCCUGAUUGCAGCCCUGGGCCCUGUUUUGUGGCAGGAGCAGGCUGUCAGUGGGCUGCCCCCAACCUGUGAUGAUGGAGAAGGCUUCAAGGAUGAUGGAGAAGGCAUCAUGUUGAUGAGAAUGGCUGUAUGGACUCUGAUCCAUGGAGGUGAAGGACCAGAGGUACAGGGGUCUUGUUGGGAGGUACAGCCUGCUAAGGCCCAGCUGGGUUAGGGGAGUGCAGAUUUUGUUCAGCUGAGUAGCUUAGGAUUUCAAAUAUUAUCUGCAGUCUACUGUAAGGCAAUUUCAACCUAUAAUCUUUCACACUGUUUUUGCUUUCCUUAAUGUUACAGUCCAUAUCUCUCCAUCCCCUGCCCCCCCGCCCCCCUCAAACCACUAUUUUAAUUUAUGUCAACAAAAUUUCCUGAUUCCACCUCUUAGACAGGUGUGCAAUAGUGAGAUUGCUUCAGAGCUGCUGGGUCCUCGUGGGAUCUGGCACUUGAGUGCCCCCGGAGAGCAGGCUGUUUCUCUUCCCGUGCCCAUGCAUUGACUUUGGUAGUUUAGCUUUGCAUGCCUAGGCUUUGAAACUUGGGUGAAAAUGAAGACUAACACACUACCACGAGUGGUCUCCCACCGCUGAUGAAAACUCCAAUGCAGCCAAGUGCCUUAACUUCAUCAGCUGCUUAAGGAUAAAGUUUGAAUUGAUGGCUCUGAUUGUGGUGGAGUUUCCUUCUGUCCCGGAUAUAAACACACUGUCCUAGGCAGAGUUAACUGUUAUUUUUAGCUAUAACAAAAGCACAUCUCAAAAGCCAGUUCUGUUGCACUUGGAAAGUACCAGAUCACUUGAAGUGCCAAAUACGCUGGGGGAAAAAGCUGGAGCGGGCUUGCCCCGGACAGCCUGCACGAACUUUCCAAGGCUUCCGCUCCCCUCUUCUUCCCACACGCGAGCAGGCACACUCACACGUACACACAGGGAGCGGCUUGGAAUUGCACAGGCUGCUGGCGAGCCCCGCUCAGCGUAUCUUUUCUCACGAUCAAAUUCAUAGUAUGUCCACUAUGUCAUUAACCUAAUUGAAUCAAAGCUUCUUUGCCAAGUGGUGUUAUUGU